rnacentral:tRNA from 1 species
GGCCUGGUAGUCUAGUAGUAUGAUGCUUCCUUCGGGUGGAAGAGGUCCCGGGUUCAAUUCCCGGCCAGGCCC